AGAGUUUGAUCCUGGCUCAGAACGAACGCUGGCGGCGUGCUUAACACAUGCAAGUCGAACGCGAAAGGUUUCUUCGGAGACCGAGUAGAGUGGCGCACGGGUGAGUAACGCGUAAGUAAUCUACCCCGGCAUCUGGAAUAACUCACCGAAAGGUGAGCUAAUACCGGAUACGCUGGUAACAGGAAAGGUGGCCUCUGCAUAUGCUACCGUGCCGGGAUGAGCUUGCGUACCAUUAGCUAGUUGGUGGGGUAAUGGCCUACCAAGGCGACGAUGGUUAGCGGGUCUGAGAGGAUGAUCCGCCACACUGGAACUGGAACACGGACCAGACUCCUACGGGAGGCAGCAGUGAGGAAUAUUGCGCAAUGGGGGCAACCCUGACGCAGCGACGCCGCGUGGAUGAUGAAGGCCUUCGGGUCGUAAAAUCCUGUCAGGUGGAAAGAAGUGCACGGCGGUUAAUACCCGCUGUGUUUGACGGUACCACCGAAGGAAGCACCGGCUAACUCCGUGCCAGCAGCCGCGGUAAUACGGAGGGUGCAAGCGUUGUUCGGAAUUACUGGGCGUAAAGCGCGCGUAGGCGGUUUGUUAAGUCAGAUGUGAAAGCCCUCGGCUCAACCGGGGACGUGCAUUUGAAACUGGCAGACUUGAGUACUGGAGGGGGUGGUGGAAUUCCCGGUGUAGAGGUGAAAUUCGUAGAUAUCGGGAGGAAUACCGGUGGCGAAGGCGACCACCUGGCCAGAUACUGACGCUGAGGUGCGAAAGCGUGGGGGAGCAAACAGGAUUAGAUACCCUGGUAGUCCACG
rnacentral:rRNA from 1 species